UUUAUAAUUUCAAUUCUCCUCUUUCAAAUUUUUAAUAUUCAACUUUUUAAUUUAUUUGAUUUAAGUCACUAAAUAAUACAUUGACAUUAAAUUUUAACCUAAUUAUUUAUUUCAACGUAUUUAUACCUAUAAAAAUUAUAUGAAGUAUACUAACUAAAUAUGUAAAGCGAAAUGAUAUAUAUUCAAAUUUUAAAGUCAAAAUAUUAUUGACCGAUUUAAAUUAAAUAAAUUAAAAGACUAAAUAGUACAAUUGAAAUUUUAAAAAAUUAAAUAACUGAUUCAAAAUUAUAUAUAAUUCAAAUAAAUUUGAUAUUUUUUUAAGUAAUAAAUAAAAAGGAUUUUUUUUUUUGAGGGAAGAAAAAGGAUUUAUAUUGAGAGGUGCAAAAGGUGGGGACAAGCACCAUCAACUAUUCUACACCACUGUUUCUCUUUUGGGGGCCACAAUUUGGCAUUUUGCUCGUGUCCGUAGCGUUUUGUUCCCUUCAAUGUAUAUCUCAAGCUGUAACAUAUGGAGGGUUAAUAAUGAAAUAUAUGAAUAGGGUGGCAAAUGAAUCCGGGUUAGUAGAGCUUUCGUCUCGAUCCGUUCCGAAUGGAGCAGAAUACAAAAUAUAAAAAAAUAUAAUCCAUUUUGAAUUCGUUUCGAUGCGCCAAGUAAAUAGAGGAGCGGGAGGCAAGAGUCCUUUUUCUCCCUUUAAUCCGCCACGAUCCGUCAAAAAUUCGCUAAAAAUUCGCUCCCAUACCGAUCCGCCCCAAAUACAACAAUAAGUGAGAGUCAAAAAUAAAAUAAAAAAUAACCCGUCUCGAAUCCGCCCCGCCUUGACAAGAAAUAAAGAAGGUGGGGGAACCCUCCCGCCCCCCGAAUCUGCCCCAUUUGCAUCCCUACAUAUGAUCACUACAACAGAAUUAGAUUAUAGGAACACAUUUUUGGAACACUUUUAUAUAAAUGUCCCAUUUAUGUAAAUUUUUUUAAAAAAUAUUUAUUAAGACCUAAAUAUAAAGACUAAUCCAAUCAAAAAUAAAAAAUUCUUCUAUUCAACCAACCGCACUCAGCCCACUCGAUUCAAUUACAACUAAAAAAGGAAAAAAAAAAGAAAAGAAAAAUUGAUCAUCCUCUCCCCUUCUCCUCCUCCGUCGCAGUAGCCGACGAGAUAGGGUUCCGGCGGCUAGAGUUCGGCCACGAGGAUCUCGCAGGGACCGCAAGCUACGAUCACCACAUAUCCCUCUGCCACAGGUCGUUGGAGGAGUGUGUCAAAUAUCAAGAUGGUUCUACCUAUAGCGAUCCCACAUAUAGCAACACCUUUAAAAAGUGUCGGUAAUUUAGCUAACAGCACUUUUUUGACCUGUACCGACUUUUAAAAGUGUCGUUAUAUACGGUUUUUGUUGUAGUGAUCGAUGCCCGAAAAGUAGAACAAAAAUAAUAAUAAUAAUAAUAAUAAUAAUAAUAAUAAUGUUUAUAAUAAC
rnacentral:lncRNA from 1 species